GUAUGAUUGGUAGAGGAGCAUUGCUGAUGCAGGGAAGCGGUACCGUAAGGAGCCGUGGAGCGUCAGGAAGAGAGAAUGCCGGAAUGAGUAGCGAGAAAGAGGUGAGAAUCCUCUUGGCCGAAUAUCCAAGGAUUCCAGAGUAAAGCUGAUCUGCUCUGGGUAAGUCGGGGCCUAAGGCGAGGCAGAAAUGCGUAGCCGAUGGACAACAGGUGGAGAUUCCUGUACUGCAUAAUGACAGAACUGUAGGGACGCAUGUGGAGCGCAUGAGCCGGGAAAGGAAAAACCGGUGCAAGCGAGGUAGGAGAGAAAGAGGCAAAUCCCUUUCUCAAUCCAAAGGCGUGAUGCGGAGCGAAAUAAAGUAGCGAAGCAUGCAAGCCAUGUGCCAAGAAAAGCUGCUAUUGUUCAUUAUGUACCCGUACCGUAAACCGACACAGGUGGAUGAGGAGAGAAUCCUAAGGCCGGCGGGAGAAGCAUUGUCAAGGAACUCGGCAAAAUGACCCCGUAACUUCGGGAGAAGGGGUGCCCCAGAAAUGGGGCCGCAGAGAAUAGGCUCAAGCAACUGUUUAGCAAAAACACAGGUCUAUGCAAAACCGAAAGGUGAAGUAUAUGGGCUGACGCCUGCCCGGUGCUGGAAGGUUAAGAGGAGAGGUUAACACGAACUUGUUCGUGUGAAGCCUUGAAUUUAAGCCCCAGUAAACGGCGGCCGUAACUAUAACGGUCCUAAGGUAGCGAAAUUCCUUGUCGGGUAAGUUCCGACCCGCACGAAAGGCGUAAUGAUUUGAGCGCUGUCUCGACAAUGCACCCGGUGAAAUUGAAGUACCAGUGAAGAUGCUGGUUACCUGCGCCAGGACGGAAAGACCCCAUGGAGCUUUACUCCAGCUUGAUACUGGGAUUCGAUGCUGUAUGUACAGGAUAGGUGGGAGGCAAUGAAGUGGAGACGCCAGUUUCCAUGGAGCCAAUGUUGGGAUACCACCCUUGCAGUAUUGGAUUUCUAACCGAGGGCCAUGAAUCUGGCCCCGGGACAAUGUCUGGCGGGGAGUUUGACUGGGGCGGUCGCCUCCGAAAGGGUAUCGGAGGCGCUCAAAGGUUCCCUCAGAAUGGUCGGAAACCAUUCGCAGAGUGCAAAGGCAUAAGGGAGCUUGACUGCGACACCGACGGGUGGAGCAGGUAGGAAACUAGGACUUAGUGAUCCGGUGGUAUAAAGUGGGAUUGCCAUCGCUCAACGGAUAAAAGCUACCCUGGGGAUAACAGGCUUAUCACUCCCAAGAGUUCACAUCGACGGAGUGGUUUGGCACCUCGAUGUCGGCUCAUCGCAUCCUGGGGCUGUAGUAGGUCCCAAGGGUUGGGCUGUUCGCCCAUUAAAGCGGUACGCGAGCUGGGUUCAGAACGUCGUGAGACAGUUCGGUCCCUAUCCGGCGCAGGCGUAGGAUAUCUGAGAGGAGCUGUCCUUAGUACGAGAGGACCGGGAUGGACGGACCGCUGGUGUAUCUGUUAGGUACCAGACCUAUGGCAGAGUAGCCAAGUCCGGCAGGGAUAAACGCUGAAGGCAUCUAAGCGUGAAGCCCCCCUCAAGAUGAGAUAUCCCCACGAGCAAUCGUGUUAAGACCCCUUGGAGAGUACGAGGUAGAUAGGCUUAAGGUGGAAGCGCAGCAAUGCGUGUAGCUGAUAAGUACUAAUCGGUCGAGGGCUUAUCCUU
rnacentral:rRNA from 1 species